UCUUCCAUGCCUCACCAAUACAUCUUCUCUUCAAGAUUUUUCGCCCGACCAACUAUUUCAUUAACCGGAGCUAAAUCCUGAAUUGCUCUUUCAUUACAAUGCAGUAAUCAGUCUAUCUUCAAUUCUAAUUGGUCAUGAUGCAGAUGCAGGAUCGUAAUGGUUUUGGCUGCAAAAACCAGCGAGAAUAGCAAGGAAAUCAAUGGUAUUAGUGGUGGAAUUUAAAGACGAAGAUCAAUUGCAGAAUGGGUUCAUGUUGAGGGUGAUGGAGAUGACAGUUAACAACAACAAAUCUGGGGCUGUUUCGGGUUCGAUGUUGUGCUGUAAUCGGGGAUUUCGGUUUUAGUGUGUAUCUAAUUUUGAAAUUGAACCUCCAGAUUUGGAUGCGGUGCGGCUAUUGUUUUGAUUGGGUUCUGAAAUUGCAAGGGCAUCGACAACCCCAAAACUGAAGUUGUUAGUUUCAGUUACUUUUAACUGUCUCUUGAGAUUUAAGGGAGGAAAUAGUAUACACCUUUCCAAAGUCACAAGUAAAAUUAUAUGGGAAAAGGCGCCUAACGGUCCAUAGCAGGAGUUGUUCAAGAAGAACUUGCAAAGGCCAUGUCCAAUCAUGGGUAUGAGAUAGUUCAAACUCUUAUCGUGGAUACUUAGCUAGAUGUGCAUGUGAAAAGGGCAAUGAGAUAGCAACCAAUGCUUCUUAGAGAUUUAGCAAGCUCGUUCUCUACACCACCAGUCGAAGAUCCGAACAUUGUCGUGUGCCUGAUUAGUUGUUCACCAGGCUUAAAAACUUGAUCUUUAAACAUUGUUAUCGGUCAUAAAUCAAACACUCAAGUAAUUUAAGGUUAGGAUCUCUUUCUCCAGUUUAAUUAUUUAAUUGUAUCUCUAUAAGUCUGUACAAACCAAAUCACCAAACUCAUUUUCCAUUGAAGGAAAAGUAAAAUGAUUUGUAUGAUUUAGAGUUUAGACUCCUUUUCCUCUCAAAUGGGAGAGUUAGAGUUUAUGAAAGAUUCAUGGAGCUGAACAUGUCAAUGUGGUGAUGGAAACUACUAGAAUGCCUUUCUUAACGCUUGGAUUUUGAAGUGGCGUAUAUGCCGCUUGAAGUAGAAGGUAAUUAUUCUCCUGGAAAACGCAUUACUACAUUAUUUUGGUUAUACUAAAUCACUGAAUUGUAAAUAAUUUUAUUCUCUAAUAUUCUUAUUCCCUUUAUCAUUACAUCCUUACUUAUUCCACAUCAAGUAAGUCUUUGUUCAUAUUAGUCAUACGAUUAGGCUUGGAAGUGAAUAACUUGCUUGGUGGAGAAGAUGUAAUGAGAGUUUCAGUGGACAAUAAAGAUGAUGUGAAACAGGAUUUUCCACAUUCUUUGCAGCGUAGUCUGGGCUGAAUUUUCACCUAUUUUGGAGGAGGAGUGGUUUUCCAAGUUCUCUAUUAUCAACUACCUAGACAGGGCUACUUUCAAAUACAUUCGUUGUACUGCCAACAUGACUCGAUAAGACUACACAGUUGUUUUACUGAUGCCCUUAACUAAAGUCGGUUGUCGUGCAUAAAACAGAUCCGCGCUUAACGGACUCUGAUACAAUUCUUGCGAUAUCCGCUAUCUAUAAGAGAGGAAAUCUGUUGAGGUCCCAUUAUAUGACUUCAAGUGUAGCAGUCGAAGAGUAUACAGGUUGGGCCUCACCCGAUUGAACAGUGAGUACAUAAUAAUGGUUUUGAUGAUCUUUCACAGAAUUUUAAUUAGCUUAGGAUAUUUUCUCACUAGGCAAAAGGAAAAAGAAUCAGUAGGAAGCGGGAAAAAAAAAUGAAACAGAAAUUUAUCUUUCGAUAGAUGAGGAGAAAACUACAUUGUUGUUGUCUCAGUUUAGCAUAUUGAGGUCGUGACUUCGUUACCUGAUUAGCAAGUCAUUCAAUAUAUAGUUGAGCUAUUACCAUGUGCAAACUUAUUUUUUUCCAUGUAUCUGUACUGUAUUGGACUUCUGAGCUGUCUAAUAAUUUAGUAAAAAUUACUUGCGGUUUCAGUAAAAUUAUUUGGUUUAAUUCUUAAACUCAUGUUUUAUUUCCUUUUCUUUUUCUGUCCUAUAAUUUUUUUUUUUGAUGCAAUUACCAAUGAAUUCUGCAAAUAUGACGCUAACGACUUAUCGGAGACAUGUAUGCAUAUAGUUCACACCAUAUUGGAAAAAUAUUAGGCACUCACAUUCAGUGUAGGAGAUGCUAGAAAUGCUAGGGUUCAUCCCAAGUGUUUUGAUGUUCAUUUGAGGUUUAAUUACAGACAGUAGCCCCAUCUAUCCCAGCCAUUGUUUUUCUAUAUAUUGGCAAGUUUUUAAUUUGAGUGUUGUUGUCCCAUUGUUGGUUUUGUAAACCUUCAUUAAAAUUACCACUGUGUCAUUAUUAUCAUCAAUUUGUUCUAAUAUGUUUUUGAAUGGAUGGAUUGAGUUUAUUCUCAUUGUAGUCAUGGUUCAUUCUACGUUUUGGUGGCAGAAGCCCCAAGGCUAUUGUUUGACUAUGGUUGGCAAGCUCACAGGAAAUGGAAAUGGAAAUGUCUUCCUUGGACCAACCCAAUGGAGACAUUGGCUGAGAAGCUGGUGGCAUGAGGUGUACUACUUGGUCAUUGGAGGUGUACUAUUUGAUAUGGGAAUUACUUUGCUCAUUAUGGGAGGUGCUGGAAGUAGUACAGGUUAUGGGGUGAAUGGUGGUUUGAUGUUGGAGAUGGUGGGCAGAGGGGGUGAAUAUGUGGUUGUAAUGCUGGCACUGGUGGUUGUAUUAGGAAUUUAGACUGUCUACAAUUUUCUGUCAGGAUUAGUAAUGUGAUUCCUUUAUUCAUUACUUUGCCAUU